AGGGCUGUGGCACAGUUGGGAGGGUGCCUGGUUUGCGUGCAGGUGGCCCCAGGUUCAAUCCAUGCCAUCUCAG